rnacentral:rRNA from 1 species
UACGAAGGGGGCUAGCGUUGCUCGGAAUCACUGGGCGUAAAGCGCACGUAGGCGGCUUUUUAAGUCAGGGGUGAAAUCCUGGAGCUCAACUCCAGAACUGCCUUUGAUACUGAGAAGCUUGAGUCCGGGAGAGGUGAGUGGAACUGCGAGUGUAGAGGUGAAAUUCGUAGAUAUUCGGAAGAACACCAGUGGCGAAGGCGACUCACUGGCCCGUUACUGACGCUGAGGCGCGAAAGCGUGGGGAGCAAACAGG